rnacentral:rRNA from 1 species
AACGAACGCUGGCGGCAUGCCUAACACAUGCAAGUCGAACGAGACCUCCGGGUCUAGUGGCGCACGGGUGCGUAACGCGUGGGAACCUGCCCUUAGGUUCGGAAUAACUCCCCGAAAGGGGUGCUAAUACCGGAUAAUGUCUUCGGACCAAAGAUUUAUUGCCUUUGGAUGGGCCCGCGUUGGAUUAGCUAGUUGGUAGGGUAAAAGCCUACCAAGGCGACGAUCCAUAGCUGGUCUGAGAGGAUGAUCAGCCACACUGGGACUGAGACACGGCCCAGACUCCUACGGGAGGCAGCAGUGGGGAAUAUUGGACAAUGGGCGAAGGCCUGAUCCAGCAAUGCCGCGUGAGUGAUGAAGGCCUUAGGGUUGUAAAGCUCUUUUACCCGGGAUGAUAAUGACAGUACCGGGAGAAUAAGCUCCGGCUAACUCCGUG